GAUUUGGUGGGGCUGGAGCUUUUCCGGGUGGUGCUGGUGGACUUUACCCUGGUAUAGGAGUUGGUUUAGGUGGUGUUGGAGCAGGUGGUGCUGGUGGAGUUUACACAGGGGCAGGAGGUGAAAAAUAAUUUUGCUAAAGAAUGGUUUAGGAGCUGCAAUC
rnacentral:lncRNA from 1 species